UACGGAGGGGGCUAGCGUUGUUCGGAAUUACUGGGCGUAAAGCGCGCGUAGGCGGCUUUGUAAGUUAGAGGUGAAAGCCCGGAGCUCAACUCCGGAAUUGCCUUUAAGACUGCAUCGCUAGAAUCAUGGAGAGGUGAGUGGAAUUCCGAGUGUAGAGGUGAAAUUCGUAGAUAUUCGGAAGAACACCAGUGGCGAAGGCGACUCACUGGACAUGUAUUGACGCUGAGGUGCGAAAAGCGUGGGGAGCAAACAGGG
rnacentral:rRNA from 1 species